CCCAGAGGGUGUGUCUGGUUAUUGCAGAGCCGCACAGCUGGGGACCAGAUCCUCACGGUGAGAGGAGCUGCUUCGUGCUCACCCUCAGCCCAAGGAAGACUCCUGGGAGAACAGGCCUCUGACUUGGCUUGGAGGGAGCUGGAGGGAGGGCGAAGCCACACCUCGUUCCAGCCUGACCCAGACGGAGCGGAAGGGAGAUCCCUGAGACCCUGCAGCUGCCACCAUGAGCUCAUUAGCUUUCUUGUGCUUAGACAUAGAGGACUUUUUGAAGGCUGUCAUUAAGUGUUUGCAAACCGUAAUAAAGAGUGAGGAGAUGAAACGUCUGCUCACUCAAGUCCUGGACAGAAUUCUGGCUGAGAUCCGUUUGCCCAGGGAAGAGGCAGAUGCACUGUGUGAGUAUCUGGAGGAGCUGGAAACAGACUUGAGCAUGAAGAAUAAAGAGCAGCUGGAUAGAAAGAGGUUUUUGACGAGGUUUCCUCACAUAAAACUGGAGCUCGAGGAGCGUAUAGGAAAGCUGCAUGCGCUUGCGGACAAGGCUGACAAAGUACACAGAGACUGCACCAUCUCCAAAGUGGUGGCCACCUCCGCUGACGCUGUGUCCAGCGUCCUGACCAUCGUCGGUCUGUCUCUGGCACCUGUGACUGCAGGGGUCAGCCUAGCACUCUCUGCCACUGGGUUGGGGCUGAGAAUAGCGGCUUCUGUGACCAGUGUGUCCACCGACAUUGUGGACAAGAUCAGUCUUUCAUUAAGAGAAACUGAAGCCAGUUGCCUUCUGUCAACUGAUAUCAAAAAAUGGCACGUGGUCGUGCAGGUUCUAGUUAAGAACACCCCCAAAAUUGUUGACAAUGCACGGGUACUUGCAAAAGCCAUAGAACGCGUUGAAACCAACAUUAGAGCCAUGGAGCGGGUCAAAGUCAACCCUUGCUUAGAAGCUCACUCAAAUCUCUUAUGGACCGAUGAGGGAAUCGAAGCCUUAAGCAGCACACAGAGGAAGGCAGCUUUCAGAGGCAGUGCUCUGGCAAUGACCAAAAACGCCCGGAUCAUGGGAAUAGCCACUGCAGGUGUCGGCCUUCUGGUGGACGUGGGCUUCCUGGUGAAGGAGUCAAUCCACUUGCACAAAGGGGCAAAGACACAGUUGGCUGAAGCGCUGAGGCAGCGUGCCCAGAAACUGGAGAGGAAGUUGGAGGAGCUCACCUGCAUCUAUGACAGUCUGCAGGAGGGCCCGACUCCGCCACCCCCAGAGCAGUGCACGGACCAGACCCAUGUCCAGGGCCAAGACUAGGAGGUGCCUUUGUUUGAGAGGGAAAGAAGGGUCAAUGUAUCUCUGGAGCUGAGUGCAGCAGGGGAGGAAUUGAUGCAGAUGGCAGCUGGGUGCAAGACAAGGAAGGGGUGUGGAGCCUGCAAUAAGGGAGGAGAGGGGACUGGAGAGAGAGGGGAAUGGGAAAAACCAUCAAUUUUGGACUAAAAAAAGACACUGAGGCAUGAUUAAAGACAGAGGCAGGGAGGAACAAGCAAUGAGAAGGCCAGGAAUACCAAAGAGUUCUGGCAGUGGUCUCUAGCCCUGCUUUUCCAGUAUCAAUGCACAUUGGACUUCCAGCUGAUUGAUGUAAUUAGGCAGAGACUUUUUUUUUUUUUUUUUUUUUUUGGCUUCCAUGUGGCAUAUGGAGUUCCCAGGUCAGGGAUCAGAACCAAGCCGUCGUUGUGACCUAAGCCACAGCAACUCUGGAUCCUUAACACACUGUGCUGGGCUGGGGAUUGAACCUGCGUCUUGAGUGCUCUCAAGACACCGCUGAUCCCAUUGUGCCACAGUGGGAACUUCAGGCAGUGACUUCUUGAUGAUGUUAUGGCGGUGGCGAUGACAACACGGUGGGUGGAUCGUUUGACAUGUUGCCAGUUGCUCUUUGGGGCCGGGGGUUAUUGAGAGACUAAAGUUCCCAGGAUAUUCCAAAUGCUGUGUUGGAACAGAGGUUGAUUUGAAAAGAAAGAGAGAAAAGAAGGAGGGAAGGAAGGAAGGAAGGAAGAGGAAGAAAGAAAGAGAAAAGAAAGACAUAUAGGAAGGAAGAAAAGAAGGAAGGAAGAAAGAGGAGAGGGAGAGAGAGAAAGAAAGGGAAAGAGAGAAAGAAAGAGAAAAAUGAAACCAGACAGCAGCAACGGGUCAGGGAACUUUGUUUUGUGUCAAGGAGAUGAACCAGCCUGGGGCCAGCAGAGGCAGCCUCUCUGAACCUAUGUCAGUUGAGAUUCCUUUGGUUUUUAAGCAACAGAACCUGCGUCUGGCUAUGUCAGCACAAAAGAGGGUAUCUUGGAAAGGAACUAGGGCAGGUCAGAGAAUGGAAAGAAGCACAAACUCUGCACAGUUCAGAAAGGACAGGAAGCAGGGCAGGUCCAACUCCAGGAGCUUAUGGUCAGCCCCGCCCCCUAGGCCCCUGCCAGCAGGUGGCUUAGGUCCCCAGUGUCAAAUCGCAGGAGACAGAAUAGCUUGACAUUACCUCGGUGUGGGAAGCCCGAGAGACCAGAUCCUUCCUUCUCUCUGCCACCUCCUGUCAUCCAGGGCUCAUGCUCCGGCUAGGUUUAACUCAUUGGCUCUUUCCAUAUGGGUCCAGAUUCUGGAGCAAACAAAGCAAAGACUAAGUGUCCUUAGGACCAAUUCUGGGAGUUCCCUGGUGGCACAGUGGAUUAAGGAUCUGGUGGUGUUAUGGCUCGGGUUGCUGCUGUGGCGCAGGUUCAGUCCCUGCCCAGGGAACUUCCACAUGACUUCUGAAGAGGGGAAGGGUAAUGGGAGUGCCUGCAUCCUGCACCACUGAGGAUGGUAUCUGAAGGUGGCAGAAGCAAUAGUGUUCUGAGGAAAGAUGAGUGUUUUGCUCUCUGCCCUUAACACCAUCAUGGUGUCUUGGCUUACACAUAUUUUCCAAGCCUGGACUCCAGCCUCCUCUUAUGACAAUAUUCCAGUAAAUACAUUUUUUUUUCCUCUAAGAAAUCAGAAUUGGUGUCUUUCCUUGCAACUAAGAAGACUGAUGGAUACGUCCAACAGCUGGAUCCUGUUUUUUCUUCCUUUGUUAACAAGACUGUCUCAGGAACAACAAUUUCUGUGAAGUGUUUCAACCUACGAAGGUUUGUGAACUCCUACCAUUGUUUUCCAGGACCGGUCACUGGAGAUCAGGCAAACUGGAGAGGGUGAAUACGUGUCUCAUAGGAGUCACCGCCCUUCUCUCCUUGAUGAUGGCACCAAUCUCUGCCAUGUCUCUAAGAAGGUGGCACAGAUUUUGCUUGAAAUAGUUAGCUAGAAAUGUAAAACCCAAUGGCCUCCACCAGUAUAUCGCACGGCAAUAGCCCCUACUCAUGGGUUUGGGGGAACAAUCUGAAGCUUCCAAGAAUUUCCUUUCCAAUUACAUACUCAGGAGCCUGGAAGAUGGUGACCAAGGUGGAGGCAGCAUCCCAGUGGACCUAAGGUGAGGUGAGCUCAACUCAAAUACCCAUUUAUUACUGACCACUGUAAUCAACCCCUCUGUCCAAUAGACCGUGGUCUGGGUCAUUCUGGGUUACUCUGGGUCCCAGAAGUUUGUGUAAACUUGGAGCCAGUACCAGCAGUCCUGGGUAGGUUGCGUUUCCUUUAGCCAGCGCUAAACAGUAUCCGCCAAGGACCAUCAGAGCAAUGAAGACAGGUUUAUGUUCCACCUUCCUCCGUGAAGCCUUAGACUCCACCCCACACAUUCUCUCCAGAUGAGUUGAUUAACUUUAGACUUCUGGACUCCAUAACCUAAGAGAAUAGGUAGGGGUUGUUUUAAGCCUCUGAGUUUGUGGUCAUUUGUUACAGCAGCCACAGGGAAUUAGCCUGUGGUGCUUCCCCAUCAGUGCCUUAAUCGUGGCUGAAAGCUCUCGUGAGGAUGGAACUCAUCAUGUGAAUCAGCAACCUCCGGGAUCCGCUUCUGAAUUUAGUUUUUAUAGGACAAUUUUUCAACCACAAAUAUAAACAACUAGACUCUCUUUCAUGCCUUGAGAGGAACUCUAAAGAGUCCAGCCAGGUGUCUGUCAGAAGCAUCAGAAGGGGCUGUCCUGGAGUUCCCGUCGUGGCUCAACGGAAAUGAACCUGACUAGUAUCCAUGAGGAUGCAGGUUCCAUCCCCAGCCUUGCUCAGUGGGUUAAGGAUCCGACGUUGCUGUAGCUGUGGUGUAGGCUGGCAGCUGCAGCUCCGAUUUGACCCCUAGCCUGGGAACUUCCACAUGCUGCAGAUAUGGCUCUAAAAAGCAAAAAAAAAAAAAAAGAAAAAGAAAAA
rnacentral:lncRNA from 1 species